rnacentral:snRNA from 1 species
GUACUUGCUUCUGCAGCACACAUACUGAGAUUAGAACAAUGUAGAGACUGCCACAGCCCUUGAGCAAAGAUGAUACAGAAAUUCAUGAAGCACUCCUUUUUUAA